CUGCAGCCCGAGUGGUGAUCGAUUUUAUUGAGCCUAAAGCGUCCGUAGCCGGACUAGUAAACCCUUGGGUAAAUUGGGCAGCUUAACUGUCCAAAUUCCGAGGGGACUGCUAGUCUUGGGACCGGGAGAGGUCAGAGGUACUCAAGGGGUAGGGGCUAAAUCCUGUAAUCCUUGGGGGACCACCAGUGGCGAAGGCGUCUGACUGGAACGGAUCCGACGGUAAGGGACGAAACCCUGGGGCGCAAACCGGAUUAGAGACCCGAGUAGUCC
rnacentral:rRNA from 1 species